rnacentral:rRNA from 1 species
UGACCUCGGAUCAGGUAGGGAUACCCGCUGAACUUAAGCAUAUCAAUAAGCGGAGGAAAAGAAACCAACA